CUACGGGGGGCUCCAGUGGGGAAUCUUAGACAAUGGGCGCAAGCCUGAUCUAGCCAUGCCGCGUGAGCGAUGAAGGCCUUAGGGUUGUAAAGCUCUUUCGUGGGGGAAGAUAAUGACUGUACCCCAAGAAGAAGCCCCGGCUAACUCCGUGCCAGCAGCCGCGGUAAUACGGAGGGGGCUAGCGUUGUUCGGAAUUACUGGGCGUAAAGCGCACGUAGGCGGACUGGAAAGUCAGAGGUGAAAUCCCAGGGCUCAACCUUGGAACUGCCUUUGAAACUCCCAGUCUUGAGGUCGAGAGAGGUGAGUGGAAUUCCGAGUGUAGAGGUGAAAUUCGUAGAUAUUCGGAGGAACACCAGUGGCGAAGGCGGCUCACUGGCUCGAUACUGACGCUGAGGUGCGAAAGCGUGGGGAGCAAACAGGAUUAGAUACCCCAGUAGUC
rnacentral:rRNA from 1 species